GAAUAUUCGAUGUAAUCAGUAGCCUUGCUCAAGGCAGUGGUGAUGGUUGGUGCAUACUGUGUUGGCAUCAUGAAAUCAAAACAGGGUCACAUGGCAGCCUGACAGUGCAAGGGAAACACUCCUCGUUUAAGAAGGAAGUUCAUUCCACCCCUACCCCUAAGCUGCUGUAAAAACUGUGAAAGUUUGAUCUCCUGCCUUACUGCGAGUCAUGGGAAAAGUUAGCCGAGAUGGAUCUGCAUUGGAGUGAAGAUGUGUACGCAAAAACUGAUACAACUCUAGACACUCAUUAAAUUACUCUGGUGCCUGAUUUAUAAAGAAAUGUUCAUACAAAUAAAAUAAUCUUAAUUGCAAUCCUCUGUUUAAUUGGUAACCAAUGAAGCGAUCUUAGAAGGAGCAUGUCAUCACGACGGCGAUUUAACCUAAAUAUAACACGAGCAGCCCAGUUCUGCAAACUGUGAAGUCUCUUUUAAAAUAUGCAUGUGGGUUUUCUGUAAGCAGCCCAUUACAACAAUCUAACCGAGAAAGAACAUGGCUGCGAAUCACAUGAUGUUAUGAAUCGUCAGAUACAUACUUCCUAAUCUGUGACACA